rnacentral:rRNA from 1 species
GAUGAACGCUGGCGGCGUGCUUAACACAUGCAAGUCGAACGGAAAGGCCCAAGCUUGCUUGGGUACUCGAGUGGCGAACGGGUGAGUAACACGUGGGUGAUCUGCCCUGCACUUCGGGAUAAGCCUGGGAAACUGGGUCUAAUACCGGAUAGGACGAUGGUUUGGAUGCCAUUGUGGAAAGUUUUUUCAGUGUGGGAUGAGCUCGCGGCCUAUCAGCUUGUUGGUGGGGUAAUGGCCUACCAAGGCGUCGACGGGUAGCCGGCCUGAGAGGGUGUACGGCCACAUUGGGACUGAGAUACGGCCCAGACUCCUACGGGAGGCAGCAGUGGGGAAUAUUGCACAAUGGGCGCAAGCCUGAUGCAGCGACGCCGCGUGGGGGAUGACGGCCUUCGGGUUGUAAACUCCUUUCGCUAGGGACGAAGCGUUUUGUGACGGUACCUGGAGAAGAAGCACCGGCUAACUACGUG